rnacentral:rRNA from 1 species
AUGAACGCUGGCGGCGUGCCUAAUACAUGCAAGUCGAGCGAACAGAUAAGGAGCUUGCUCCUUUGACGUUAGCGGCGGACGGGGGAGUAACACGUGGGUAACCUAUCUAUAAGACUGGAAUAACUCCGGGAAACCGGGGCUAAUGCCGGAUAACAUGUUGAACCGCAUGGUUCUACAGUGAAAGGCGGCUUUGCUGUCACUUAUAGAUGGACCCGCGCCGUAUUAGCUAGUUGGUGAGGUAACGGCUCACCAAGGCAACGAUACGUAGCCGACCUGAGAGGGUGAUCGGCCACACUGGAACUGGGACACGGUCCAGACUCCUACGGGAGGCAGCAGUAGGGAAUCUUCCGCAAUGGGCGAAAGCCUGACGGAGCAACGCCGCGUGAGUGAUGAAGGUCUUCGGAUCGUAAAACUCUGUUAUUAGGGAAGAACAAAUGCGUAAGUAACUGUGCGCGUCUUGACGGUACCUAAUCAGAAAGCCACGGCUAACUACGUG